UCCUCCGGGGGGCAGCAGUAGGGGAUAUUUUGCAACAGGGGAAAAUCCCACGGACCAACACCGCGUGAGUGAUGAAGACUUUCUGGUGGUAUAAAUCUUUKUUAGGGGGAACAAGUGAUAGUUGAAAAACCUGGCACCUUGACGGUGCCCAACCAGAAAACCCCGGGUAAAUUCGUGCCACCACCCCCGGUAAAACGUAGGGGGCAAACGUUUUCCGGAAUUUUUGGGGGUAAAACGCGCGCAGGGGGUUUUUUAAAUUUGAUGUGAAAACCCCCGGCUCACCCCUGGAGGGUCAUUGGAAACUGGGAGACUUGAGUGCAGAAGAGGGAAGGGGAAUUCCAUGUGUAGCGGUGAAAUGCGUAGAGAUAUGGAGGAACCCCAGUGGGGAAGGGGCCUUUCCGGUCUGUAACUGACCCUGAGGCGCGAAAACGUGGGGAGCAAACAGGAUUAGAUACCCCGGUAGUCCCCCCCGUAAACGAUGAGUGUUAAGUUUAGAGGUCUCCCCCUUUAGUGCUGCAGUUAACGCAUAACAUUCCGCCUGGA
rnacentral:rRNA from 1 species